rnacentral:lncRNA from 1 species
GGGGACGCGAGCCUGCUUCCAUCUGACGCUGGACGCUUGUCCCUGCCCCGCGUUGCCUUUUAAAUUUUAGCUCAUUCCGAGACACCUGCCGUCAGUCAGCUGUCAUGCGAGGGCACUCAAGCAGCCCUGUGGAAAGCUCUACGUGGUGAGAAACUGAAGCCUCCUGCCAACACCAACAAGGAACUGAGACCUACUUCCAACAGCCAUCUGAGUGAUCGAUCCAUCCUGGAAUCAGAUCCUCCAGCCCCAGUCAAGUCUUCAGAUGACUGCAGCCCUGACCAGCAUCUCAACUGCAACCUCGUGAAUGACCCUGAGCCAGAACCAUGCAACUAAACUCUGCGUGGAUUCAUGACCCACAGAAACUGUGAGAUGGUAGCUGUUUGCUUUGUUAAGCCUCUAAGUCUGGAAAGAAUGUCUUAAGCAGUAGCAGACAAUGAACACAAGAUUAUUAUUCAGCUGUUGAAUUGGAAGAGGAG